rnacentral:lncRNA from 1 species
AUGUGCAGGUCCAGGAUCAAGAGGAAAAUGCUAUUGAGCCCAGCAUUGGCAUCCCAGUGCACGACUAAACCUACUCUCUUUCUUCUACCUUCCUUUGAGUUCCAAAAUAAACUACUUUAUCUACCUACCCUUUCACUUAAUAUUAUUUAUCGUUGUAAUAAUACAGGGCUCAAGACAGUUCUUGCUCGACCACUUGAUCCACAUUUAUAUUUGUAA